AAUGAACAAAUGUGGAAAUGGGCUUUGUUGAAAGAUUGUUCUGUAAAAUCAUUGAAUGGCUUUUCAGCUUUUCCUGGUAUGGUUUUUCUGAAGCUACUUUGUUGAGGUUUUAUUUGCCUAAUUUCCCACAUGAUGGAAUGAAUGUAAUCUUCACCAGCACGGAUAUGUAGACCUUUUCAAGAUGGUUAAGAACUGUGGCGAAAAACCAAGUGGAAUGACAAGUGAGGAAACUUACAUUUAUUUCUCAUUAAUUCUUCUGCUAUGUUAUUCUUUAUCUGA
rnacentral:lncRNA from 12 species